ACACUGUUGGGACCGCCUCUGCUAAAGAGGAGGAAGGAAUGGGCAACGGUAGGUCAGCAUGCCCCGAAUUAUCCGGGCUACACGCGGGCUACAAUGGUCAGGACAAUGGGUAUCGACACCGAGAGGUGGAGGCAAUCUCCUAAACCUGUCCUUAGUUCGGAUUGUGGGCUGCAACUCGCCCACAUGAAGCUGGAAUCCGUAGUAAUCGCGUUUCAAAAUAGCGCGGUGAAUAUGUCCCUGCUCCUU
rnacentral:rRNA from 1 species